UUUUGUUUAUUUGUUAAUGUUCAACGGUUAUGGUGAAACUCGCAAGCCUGGGUGUCUCAGCUAUUUUACAAAGCCGAGCUGGAGACCCAUAAUUAAAAAAGUAUAUAACAAGGCAUCAUGCAUGCGUGUUUGUCUAAAAUCUCAGCUCGGCUCAAUUUAGCUCGUUGGACAGCUGCCAUAGCCACGCUCCUUGUGACAUGACUGAUUAAUUGAACUUAAAGAUGCACUUACACGAGUAGUUGGUCUUACAAGUAAGCUGCACAGAAUAAUUAUUGCGGAGAAAAUUCAGAAACAGUGGUAGGUGUGGGCCUUGCUCUGAGAAAGAGGCAUCUGCGUCACAAAGGCCUUUUCCAAUUCAACAUGCUUCCAAUUGUUAUCCUAAAAUGUUUCAUCUUCAUUCCUUGUUCUUGUUCUCUAACAUUUGAAGCAUCUGAAAAGAUGGGCUUGCUCCAUCAAUACAGCAGCAGCAGUUCUUAGAUCUUUUUCUGUGUCUUUGUCUUUGUCUUUCUCUUUCCUUGUGCAAGAUGAGAUUUAACUUGUUACCUUACUUCUUCCCUAUAUGAAUAUUUUAUUUUGCUGUAAAACUCUCACAUAACGGAGAGAUGGCUUUCGCUAAUCGGCCUAAGAAGGAGACACCAAGAAUUGGAUUCAAGAAACCAAAGAAUAUGCUUCUUCCAGGAACUAGUCUUGCCUCUGUUGAAUCCUUAUCAGUCCCUCUUGUUUGUCUCUCUCUUUCUCCAUUUUUGCUGCUUUUUGCAGGUUGUUUAGGCUUAAAUGUUGCAUGAAAUUGUUAUGGAUUAUGACCUUGCGUUUGAUGCUUGUUGAGAACAGGUCCAGGAAGUUGUUCUUUCAGCAGAUAUUCGAUGUGCUGAAUGUCAAAAGAGAGUAGCUGAAAUAAUGUCAAGAAUGACCGAUACGGAAUCUGUGUCAGUUAACGUGUUGGAGAAGAAAGUAACUCUCACUUGUAGAUAUCCUGGUGUUAAAGUACCCACAAGCCGAGUUGCUGCUGUGUACAGGAAUCCUCUCAGCAAAAUUGCCAUGUUAAAGCGCAUUUUUCGCUCUGCCUGCAGCUGAUUACUUGUAUAAACAUUCCAACAUAUACAUUUUACAUCAGCCUAAUGUUCCCUGUUGAGGGCAUAGGCGUGGCCGUAUUAUCUUCCUCAAAUCUUAGCGGCAAGAAAACGAGUGUGUUAAUCAGGUUAAAUUAGUUGUACACAUAAUUGUCACAUAACAUUGAGGAAAUAAAAAAGAAAGGGAAAGUACAGAACCGUAUUGUGGUUUAUGCUAUUUUCAAGCAGAGUAUUAUGGUUUAGGUUUUAACAAAUUGAUACCUGUUAUUAAGUUGGUCAGAAGAUAAUGUCCAAACACCGUAAAGCCAUUAAUGACUGCUGAAAUAGCAGGCAGAAAAAUAGUGUCAUAUCAGCAGCCAUUAACGGGGUUAGUAUGUUUGGAUUUUCUUUAUUAACAUACUUAAUAACAGGUACUGGUUUGUCAAAAUUAAACCGUAUGUUUCUUUUUGGUACUUGGAUAAAAAAAUGUGAGAGAGUAAUUGAACAGUUGUAGGAUACCUGUAAUUUCACAAUUAUAGUGAAAGCUUGAUUGAAAAUCUCUGUAGAAUAAAGAUUUUAUUUCCCUGAGUGGUUAAACAGCAACAUCUACCUGACCUGUCUUUGUAAUUGUAAAACUUUUCUGUCUUCAGAGCAAUUAAAUGAAGGUAAGAUAAUGGUAAGAUGGCUUAAAUUUUGUGCAACAUAGCCUUUGCAAACAAGAAAUGGAUGCUUCAUGAUAGGUCAUGAAGUAAAACAAAGCAUGGGACAACCGGAAAGGAAUGCUUUAUCUAUAACUGCGCGGGAAAUAAACAAAGCUCAAAAAUGAAGUUAGGGAUAGUAAACCAAAUGUGACAAACAAAACCCCCUUUUUAAGCCCAAGCAGAAUCAGAUUCCAAAAUCAAAGUGAAGAAUUUCCCGCAGACAAUCCAAAAGUAGAGGUAUCAUCUGAUUCUUGAAAUUCCCCAAAUCCAACAUUUCCUUCUCAAUUCUGAUUACCAUCCUUUUAGCCACUAUAUCAACCAAUCAUUGAUCUAAUGUCUGUUCACAGCUUCAGGCAAGCAAAGACAAGGCAAACAGGAUCUUCAUAUGACUUGUUGCAUGGUGGUGAGAAUUAACCUCGACUGCAAUGCUUGCUGCAGGAAAGCAAGGAAAAUUAUUCUCAACAUGAAAGAGAUAGAGACACACAUGAUUGCUAAGCAGGAAUGCAGGAUAGUUGUAUGCGGGAGAUUCAUACCUGCGGAUGUGGCAAUAAAGUUGAGAAAGAAGAUGAACCGCAGGGUGGAAAUAAUGGAAAUCCAGGAGAUGGGUGGUGAUGGUGACACAACUGAAGAAUCAAGGCCAAUAAUCCAUGGCUCUUAAAAUCUGAUAUAGCCUGCACAAAUCAUAUUGCUGGACGUCUGGAAGCUCACAGCCACUUGUGAUUGUGGUUUAUGGCAGGAAAAUUGCGGAAAAAUUAAAUGAAAAUGUGCUUUAGAAGUAAAUCCUUGUAAAAUCUGAACAGCAAAUGGAGCAGAUGCAAAAGAAUGGUAAAAAAUCAGCACUGUAUUACAAACCAACAUAGAUUGUAGUUAAAUAGCAGUGUUGAAAUUAUUAUUUUGGUCUUAUCAAAAUUUUAAGAAUGCCAAUUUAUUUGAUCAAAGUAGUGAUUUAACUUAGGUUUGAAUUUGUAUAUAAGGCAAGAACUCAAGUUCAGCUUAAAAUGACAAGAUAUUCUCCGCAAAAGCG
rnacentral:misc_RNA from 1 species